GAUGAACGCUAGCGGCAGGCUUAACACAUGCAAGUCGAGGGGUAACAGUGCUUUCGGGCAGCUGACGACCGGCGCACGGGUGCGUAACGCGUAUGCAAUCUACCUUUAACAGGAGGAUAGCCCCGAGAAAUCGGGAUUAAUACUCCAUAACGUUUUUUUAUGGCAUCAUAAAGAGACCAAAGCUCCGGCGGUUAAAGAUGAGCAUGCGUCCCAUUAGUUAGUUGGUAAGGUAACGGCUUACCAAGACAUCGAUGGGUAGGGGUUCUGAGAGGAUGAUCCCCCACACUGGUACGGAGACACGGACCAGACUCCUACGGGAGGCAGCAGUGAGGAAUAUUGGGCAAUGGACGCAAGUCUGACCCAGCCAUGCCGCGUGCAGGAUGACAGCCUUAUGGGUUGUAAACUGCUUUUGUUUGGGAAGAACACUAUGUACGUGUACGUAGGUGACGGUACCAGACGAAUAAGCAUCGGCUAACUCCGUGCCAGCAGCCGCGGUAAUACGGAGGAUGCAAGCGUUAUCCGGAUUUAUUGGGUUUAAAGGGUGCGCAGGCGGACCAAUAAGUCAGCGGUGAAAUCUCUCGGCUCAACCGAGAAACUGCCAUUGAUACUGUAGGUCUAGAGUUUAUUUGACGUGGGCGGAAUGUAGCAUGUAGCGGUGAAAUGCUUAGAUAUGCUACAGAACACCGAUUGCGAAGGCAGCUCACGAAACUAAAACUGACGCUCAUGCACGAAAGCGUGGGGAGCAAACAGGAUUAGAUACCCUGGUAGUCCACGCUGUAAACGAUGAUCACUCGCUGUUGGCGAUAAACAGUCAGCGGCCAAGCGAAAGUGUUAAGUGAUCCACCUGGGGAGUACGCUCGCAAGAGUGAAACUCAAGGAAUUGACGGGGGCCCGCACAAGCGGAGGAGCAUGUGGUUUAAUUCGAUGAUACGCGAGGAACCUUACCAAGG
rnacentral:rRNA from 1 species